ensembl:lncRNA
UACUCUUUUAAUAAAUACUUUAUUUGGUCUAUAUACUAAAAUGCAGCCAAACAAUAACAAUGACUAAAACAAUAACCUGAAACCUGCCGUGUUCAGUCAAUAUUUAGUUUGCCAUGCAAUUUCUCUAUUGAGAAACAUUCAGCAACAAGCUUACAGCGCUCGUCAAAGACGCACAGCAUUUUCAAGCAUAUACUGAACAAAAAUACAUUCAACACGCAACAAUUUCAAGGUUUUACUGAGUUACAGUUCAUAUAAGGAUUCAUAUAAGUUCAUAUAAGUCCAUUUUAAUAUAUUUAUUAGGGCUUAAUCUAUGGAUUUCACAUGACUGGGAAUACAGAUAUGCAUCUGUUGGUCACAGAUACAUAAAAAAAAUGGGCCUCAGGAUCUCUUUGCGGUAUUUCUGGGCAUUCAAAUUGCCAUCGAUAAAAUGCAAUUGUGUUUGCUGUCCGUAGGUUAUGCUGCCCAUACUAUAACUCCACUGACACCAUGUGGCACUCUGUUCAUAACAUUGACAUCAGCAAACUGCUCUCCCACAAGUCCCAAUUCACGUGAUCUGUGGUUGAGAGGCCAGGACGUACUGACAAAUUCUCUAAUGUUGGUGGCGGCUUAUGGUAGAGAAAUUAACAUUCAAUUCUCUGGCAACAGUUCUGGUGGACAUUCCUGCACUCAGGAUGCCAAUUGCAUGCUCCCUCAAAACUUGAGACAUCUGUGGAAUUGUGUUGUGUGACAAAACUGCACAUUUUAGAGUGGCCUUUAAUUGUCCCCAGCACAAGGUGCACCUGUGUAAUGACCAUGCUGUUUAAUCACCUUAAUAUGCCACACCUGAUGAUCUUUUCAUAGGAGAAAUGCUCAAUAACAGGGAAGUAAACAAAUUUGUGCUUAUGGAACAUUUCUGGGAUCUUUUAUUUCAGCUCAUGAAACCAACAAUUUACAUGUUGCGUUUAUAUUUUUGUUCAGUGUACAUAUUUUUUUUACAUCACAGUUCAGUGCAAAAUGUGUUGCAUUUUAGACCGAAGUAGCUCAAAAGAAAAAGUUACAUUUUGCCAUAUUAAGAUGAAAGAACCCCCUUGACGCAACGCAUGGUAGUCAAACAGGACUCUCAGUGUAUAUAGACAUCAUUUCACAGUGAUGCAUAGCUGCCUCACACAGCGACGGAACUUAAAUAAACAGCACAAGAAACGUGCUGCUUUCCAAGCUAAUUUCCACAUCAAAACGCAGCACAUCAAAGGCAGGCCUCCGACUUCUCGUGGUAAAUUCAUAUAAGUCCGCAAUCAAUAUUUAAUUAAGCGUUCGACACAGUGGGUAUAUUUCAUCUUUGCUGUAUGAUCCUGUUUAAAUGGGAAACCUAAGACUAAGUGUGAGGCGAUGGAGGAGGAGAGGAACUCUCUCAAAGAGGGCUGAGGGAGACCGAGAGCAUGAAAUCCUGGGGAGAAUUACAGCAGUCUCUGUUUGCUGGAUCCAUGCUGGUAGCAGCUCCUCCCCAUACCUCCAAAGAGACAUCUGAAGACCUGAUUAAUACACUUAUAUCAAUCACCGUGAUCUCAACAUCUCUCUCAUCCCCACUGACAAACAAUGAGUUCAGGAAAUAAAAUGGGAAAUUAAGCAGGAAAAUAUGAAGCAGGUAUUGCGUUCACCGAUAGCUCGAUUUCUAUAGCGCCUUUGAAUAUAUAUUAAAGCGUCCGAUUUUCUCUUGUAGACCUUCCACCCCAAUAAAGUGCCAGUUGUGUAUAGGUCUGAGGUGAGGUAGAAGCAAGACUGUGUUUUGUUAUUGCUGAGCAAACAUUUAUUGAAGAGGAGACCGAUUCAAAAAUAGCAGGAAUAAAAAAGGCAUUAUGGCACGGGCACGUUCUGGCAUUUCAACUCUUGGAGAGCGUAAGAGAAGGGUGCCUUAAGGAACAAGACAGCAUGGUUUCCUAAACAACAUGAGCAUGUAGAAUAAAUGAACAUGGAACCAAACAGGUCAACAUUCAAGUAUACACAUCAAAAAUGUUAAAAAAAAAAAGAGUAUAUUUUAAAGAAAUGUUUCAGGCGAAACCUGGAUUGUAAUGAUCCAUAAAAACACUCACACACACAAACAAACACCCACCAACUGCAUUCCCACUGAAUAGCAAUAAUGGUUAAGAAUCCCUCAGUCGAGAGGUAGAGUCCAUGGAUGUAUAACAGUCCCAAUCCAGCUACAGCAACCCAACAGAAAAGGCCAUUGGCUGGUUCGAAGAGAAAGUGAGGGAAUUAACUUUAAGUGCCAAAUCUUUUCACAUGUCCCUUGUCCUUCCUUAAAAGCUUGUGCAUGUGUGCUGGUGGAGCCCUGUGCUGUCCAAAGUUAAGGUAACAUUCAUUAAGUUUGUCCACUGUCCAUCACGGGUGGGAAAAAGCAGGUCUUCAUGUUAUUGGCCCAGAAAAAUGUUAAUCAAUAAUCCAAAAUGUAAGCUCCUGUAUCCUUCUUCAAUUGGAUAGUUGUCUCUGAUCAUGGCCAAUCAGAGCACUUUGAUAAAGCAGAUUUUAAGAUAUUUUAUCAGUCAUGACCUCACAGUGUCUAAUGUAUAACGGUCUGUCUGGUCAAUCUGUGCAAAGGUCCCACAAAAGCUGUUCUAUUGCUGCCUUCAAAUGCUCCUCUGUAGUGGGAAAUACCCGACUGGGAAAUUACCACUUGAAUGACCCUCCCAAGUCGGAAUUCCAAGUGGGAAAGUCAGAGAUAGGGUUUGAUAACAGAGUUUCCAAGUUGUGACUUUUCAUCACUGACCUUUCACCUUUUCAACCAAAAGAUGUUAAAGCGAAUCCAUUUUUGACAUUGUCAAAUGUAUCAAUGUGUAUAAUGUAGCUAGUUUUACAAUAUUGUCAACUUUAAUCACGGUAGCUAACUGGAUCAUUAGAUAGAUCAUCUAGCUUGCCAUUGGUUGAAGAAUUGUUCCAGAGUUACGACGUCAUACUGUAAAGUUUCCCAGUUCCCACAAGCACUUGAAGGCAGCAUUUGUCCUCUAAGGGGAGCUGAGCUUUCUGGCCUUCAGAUUCCCUGGAUCUGGAUGAGAGAGGAGACAAAUUAUUCAAGCAAACCCAUCAAAUGAGCUACAUGGCAGUGGAGGAGGAUCAAGAGUACAAAUGGCUUUAGAAACCUCUUCCUCUGUACUGCAACCAUACCUCCUCGUCUGCUGUGUCCCAGAAC